rnacentral:rRNA from 1 species
UACUCUGAGCGGUGGAUCACUCGGCUCGUGACGUCGUGCGAUGAAGAGCGCCAGCCAACUGCUGUGAAAUUAGUGAGUUGUGAAUUUGCAGGGAUAUCUUUGAACAUUGCCAGACAUCUUGAACGCCAUAUUGCGGCCUCCAGGUCUCCCCUGUGGCCACGCGCUGGCCGAGGGUCG